rnacentral:rRNA from 1 species
UAAGUAAGUGGUGGAAAUUAAACCAAAUGGGAUAUCUUUAGUAAUUGCGAAUGAACAAGGAUAUGCUUAGCUUGACAAAUGGAGCUAUUGGCUUUGAAUUGUAUUGUGGAAAUGUAUUACCAACAGAGGUGCAGGUGCCAGCCUAUUGAAAUAAAGCGUCAAUGAGGGUGAGAAUCCUGUUUGUCAUGUGCAGCCCUUUGUGCACGGUGUAUAUUUGCUGAGUCACACUCCUUGGCAUUGGAAUGCAAAGUGGGUGGUAAGUUUCAUGUAAAGGUAAACAUGCAAUUGAGACUGAUAGCACACAAGUACCAUGAGGGAAAUAUGAAAAGGACUUUGAAAAGAGAAUUAAAUGAGUUUGUAUUUGCUGAACACAAAGUAAACAGACUUGAUUUGCUUGGUGGGAGUGUUGCACUUGCUUGACAAGAGCUUUAGGCUGUGGGUGUAAUGAUUCUUUCUUUGCAUGCCAGUUUCUAUGUGUACAUCUGAUUACCUUUGCACAUGAAUGAUAAGUCUCCUGUGGGGGGGUGGAUUGCAUGUGCAUGUAAUGAUUUGUGUUUUGAUAAAUGUGUCUGGUGUAUGUGUGUGUGUUCCUGUGCUUGGGGAUGCUUCCUUCCUUGGACUUACAAGCCCUGACACACACAUGCUGGCAAAAUGCUUCUGCUUGACCCG